UUUCACUCUCCGCCCCUCAUGACACAGGUUCAACACGUACAGUCGGACUGCAACGCCUCGAGGGGCAGAUUGGUAGGAGAACUUUCUACUUGUAGGCCGGUUUCCCCGGAGGACAGCCUCACCAUGGCAUGAUGCUCCAGGUUACCCCCCUACGACAAGGUAGCCCUGCUGCACGCCGACGGUCCAUCUGAGAACAUACAGAAGAUGGUUAAACAACAAGUACAGUGAAGACAGUCAUUGAAACACAACGCCAGUUACACAGCACCAUUUGUUAACAUGUUAGAUAGAAACUAGCCUUUAUCUGGCCCGGUUCCAUACUCGCUGCCCACUGAACAGGACAAGCGAGCCAUCGUGGGUCAGUUUCUGUCUGCCCGCUUAAUGCAAAACAGUGACAUUGGAGUCAGUUAUGUCUCAAGGGGCAAGAAACACCAAGAGAUACUAUUAGAAUUUUUUUCCCAAAAGACAAACAAGACAUUUAAUACUACUACAGUCAAAAUAGAAAGCAAUCAAAACAGCCAAAAGAACACUGAUAUUCAAGUGUCUGGCUACACUGGUCCCAGAUAAUUUGGUAGUGGAUAUCGCAUGAUUUCAUCCAAGAACUCAUUUAAAAGGCUGCCUGUUGCUUACCAUCAAAAGUUCCUGCCAUUCUUCAAGAAAGGCAGCCAUCAUCCUUCUUCCAUUCAUCACUUCAUGGGGCACCAGAUUACAGUGGUAUCAAAUAUUCUCCAACAAAGACAAAAGUGGGAAAACUAGAGAGAGAAAAUUAGAGCUAUUAGCUAAGAUCUGUCAAUUUACUGUUAUUUAAUUGCAUAAAACGUCACAUCAGAGCUAAGAUCACUUGGAACAGUUCUGGGUCAUUGGGAGCACAUAUGGCCCAAUCAUGUCACCCCUUAACAGACAGGUUUAACAGUCAGACAGCAAGCCCUGGAGAAGCUGCUUGGCAGGAAACCAAACAGUAAUAGUGUACAAAUAGCGAACUACAAGAAAUGGAACCAAUGUGGCCUUUUGUAUUAUCACCAAGGGUUGUUCAUUACACCACCCACUUCUCCGCUCCUUACCGUUAAAACUAGUCUUAAUUAAAACCCCUCCUUAACAGAUGAAUCGCCAUAUAAAUCUAGUUUAACCAGAAGAUCUCUCGCUGGCACUGAAACGCCAUGGCUUUUAGGUUAAUCGCCGUGUGCCGUGGUUUCGCACCUACGUUACCUCAUGUUGCUUAUGCUAAGAACGUGUUACAACUAUUAGUAGUGCUUCGAUAGAUA
ensembl:lncRNA